AAUAGAUACCCCGGUAGUCCACGCCGUAAACGAUGUCGACUUGGAGGUUGUGCCCUUGAGGCGUGGCUUCCGGAGCUAACGCGUUAAGUCGACCGCCUGGGGAGUACGGCCGCAAGGUUAAAACUCAAAUGAAUUGACGGGGGCCCGCACAAGCGGUGGAGCAUGUGGUUUAAUUCGAUGCAACGCGAAGAACCUUACCUACUCUUGACAUCCAGAGAACUUGGCAGAGAUGCUUUGGUGCCUUCGGGAACUCUGAGACAGGUGCUGCAUGGCUGUCGUCAGCUCGUGUUGUGAAAUGUUGGGUUAAGUCCCGCAACGAGCGCAACCCUUAUCCUUUGUUGCCAGCGGUUAGGCCGGGAACUCAAAGGGGACUGCCAGUGAUAAACUGGAGGAAGGUGGGGAUGACGUCAAGUCAUCAUGGCCCUUACGAGUAGGGCUACACACGUGCUACAAUGGCGCAUACAAAGAGAAGCGACCUCGCGAGAGCAAGCGGACCUCAUAAAGUGCGUCGUAGUCCGGAUUGGAGU
rnacentral:rRNA from 1 species